CUCAGGCCGACACCCCAACCACUGGGCUCCCGCCCAGGUUCACUGUGUCUACUUGAAGCAGCCCACUCUCCUGCCCUCUUCCCCUCACCCAGACUCCUCAAUGCCGGGAACAGCCAGAGUAUACCAGCCUAUUCCACGUAGUAUUAACUCUAACGGAAAAUGAGGAGGUCCCUGACCCUUUCUGAAAAUGGCAUUUUGGUGGAAUUUUGCCAACCAGCAUGAUUAGGUCAGCACAGCACCGCUUCCUGCACUUGGCACAGGAAUGGAGAGCUGAGAGCUGGGUUGGAGGUUCUGUUUCCCCGAGGGGCUAGUGUGGGUUCCUGCCCCGAGGAUGGCGAAGAGCACCCUCAUUCGGAACCAGAUUAACCGCAGCCUUCCCAGGCUGGUGAAGGAAAUCCCAGCUCACGUAGGGCACCCGGGGAGGCAGUGAGGGUUGGCUGUGUCCUAAAAACCUUCCUCUUACAGGAAGAAGCGCUGGAUUGGAGCCAAAGCAAUUAUGAAAUUCAUCAAAGGAAAGAAAGGGGGUUCCAGAGAACAACCAGACCAGGCCUCGCCCAGUACUUCUCAGCCUCUUCAAUCGCAGCUGGAGCCCCUGGAGGCCACCCCAUGCUGCUCAAAGUGGACAGAAGAGCAAGACGCCCGCAGGGGGUGCAAGGGAAAAGCAACUCAGCUCAAAAAGAAUCGCUUUUGGAGACGCGGAAUCGAGGACAAGGCCAAGUCUCUAUCUGCCCGCCCGGCUUUCUCUACACGCCUGAGGUUCUGGUCCUCCUCUGACAUCGCACCCGCUUCUGACUAGCCUCUCCCUUUCUCAGACACAGAGGAUUCCUAAUCCUUUGGCUUCAGCAGUGUCUUCCUGAUGUACCCUCCUUCAUGCCUGAAUUUCAAACAAAGAAACAAACAGAAAAAUAGUAACUAAAGGCCAGAUGACCCAUAGUGGACCCCUCCUCCAGACCCAAAUUGCAAGCCAAGCUUAAAGUACCAACGUGGAUUCUGACUUCAAAAGAGACCAGUUGUCACAGCCUCUGGACCGUAUUCCAGGGCAGCCAGUGUGAGGGGAGCCUCGGGCAUCCAUGCCCAGGUCCCUGGGACCAUUUCCGCCCCCUCUCUCGCACCUGCGAGCUUAGAGACCAUGGCCCUGUGCAGCGCAGAACUGAUCAGCGGUCACUAGGCUUCCGAAACUCUGUGGUCCCUGUCAAGUGAGAUAGUUUUAAGACUCAUUUGUGGGCAGCUAACUUUAAACCUGCUGCCCUUUUCUCCACUUCCUGUGUCAGAGCACAGAAUCUUGGCUUUUGCGGAGCAGUCCCUUUUUAGAUGUGUUCUGUGUUUUGAAGAAUUUACCGCUCCACUCAGCAUCUCAAAUAAUUGGGUUGAUGUUGCCGAGCCAGGGUUCAGCUCAGAGUGACGUUGUAGGACCGUGCUGAGGUCCUCUGACGUCUUGGAUGCUGCUGUGAGGGCAGCAGUGGACAGACAGGACAUCAGCUCACAGUCACCAUCCGCCGGGAGCGCUGGUCCACAGAGGCCUUUAGUUACUGCAUUGUUUUCUGUCUCCAGCCAUCCUCAUACCAUCUCCAUCAUUUUGCAAAGUCUGUAUCACCUGUAUGCUUAUUGCAUGCUUUCCCUUGAAUCAACUUGCCAUUUCCACUUUAAAAGGGAAGAUGUUUAUCAGUCCUGUGAGUGGAAAACCACUGUCACUAUAAGCACAAGGUCACCAUAAAAGUAAACGGGUGACUAUUGAACUGUUGCUGUCAGUUGAUGUGGCACUGACUUCGUGGCAUGCACCGCUCUGACUCCUGGGCUGCCACGUGCUGGUCCCCCGCCUGCCUGCCCAGCAUGCUGUUGGAAACGCGGUCUCUCUGCCCUGGCUGCUGUCUGGCACCUCCGCCCCUCCGCCUCUCCGCCGCUCCUCACGCUGACCUCACGCUGUGGACGCCUGUCAGAUUCAUCCCACCAGACUUGAAUCUUGCUUCUCAUCAAGGUUAUCCUGCAGAAUCCAAAUUUUCCCUUGAUUUCAAGUUGCAAGGCUUAGGUGCUUACAACUUCCCUGCCCUGGGGACCUCAUACCGAAGGGAGUGGCCCCACCCAGAGGCAGCCUUGAGCGCACGGAUGCCUCUGCUGACCCAGCCACCAAGCCCCGGCCAUCAGAGCUGGGCUCUGGGGCCAGUUCAUCCGCAGCCAUCACUACAGCUCCUUCCAGCUCCACCUCCAUGACCCGGCACGGUUCUGGAAGCUCUGGCAUGCAUCACCGUGGUUUGACAAGCCCAGCAAAGACAGACAGGGUCCCUGCCCUCAAGGCUGCCUGGGGCAGCUUCAGGACCUGGCCCCUUGUUUACAAAUCAGAAGCACCCCUGGGAGAAGAUGAGGACAUGGACACGACCAGGACUCAGGGGCUGGGCCAGAGUCAGAGGUGGCUGUCUCGCAAAAGGCCCAGGAUCCCCGUGGAUGUUCCAGGUCUGCCGACUCUCCAGCCUUAUGUUCCCCGCGGGCUAGACUUCAGAGGACAGCCCCUGUGAGCGGUUCCGGGCGCUCGAGUUCCCAACCGCAGGCAGCACGGGGAGUGGACGGUGCAUGGUGCCCCUCAGCCUGGGUUCUCACACCUGUUCCCAUCAACAGUGCUUGUCCUUCAAACUGGAUGGCGUAGUCUGGGCUAGACUGGGUCAGCGGCCCUUUGGUUCAGGGUGGUCCUUUCCUCCCAGGGUCCCCGCCAGGCAGCUUAGAGAGCCGCAGGGAUGCUUCCAGUGACCGCUCACCUCGCGGCCUGAAGGGGCACAUCAUGCAGUUUGAGGCUCAGGCCUGGGAGUUUUCACGGAUUUGGGUUCCGAUCCAAUCUCCUCACUGACCAGCUCUGAGCACCUGGGUGAGCUACCCAUCCUCCGAGUCUGAAUUCCUGCAGCUUCCAGAUGGGGACAGGGCUGGGAGUUCCGGUCCAUCAUGCUCAGAGGACACGGGGUUUCUCUGAUGCGGCCUGCUCCACCGCAGGCCCGAGAGCUUCCGCAGUGAGGAACUGAUGCCCAGCAGGGACACAGCACUCUGCCCCGCCCCACGAUGCCAGCACCCCAGAACGCAGUACCUUCAGCCGCCAGGAGUACCCGCCACCCAGAAUGGGCCUCUCCACCAGGAGGCAUCCAGAAGAGGGGUGUGGCCCAGCCUCAGGCCUGGGUGUCCCUGUGCCCUCGGAGCAGAGGAUGGUCACCCUGGAGUAGUUCCUGGAGGAGCGUGACCAGGCUCCCCCUACUCUGUGUGUGGCCCUGGAGGGCUCUUUCCUCACUCUCCCCUCAGAUGGACCUGGACCAGAGGGGAGACGUGGACAGCAAAUUCACAGACAGGGAUGGGGCGGGGCUGGCAACCUGGCUGCAGAGCUGGCUGGAUGGGGACAUAACCACUAGCCAAAAAGGACUGUGCAGACCUGGGAGGCUUUCUCUCUAUCUGUGCAGGGAGCGGCAGAAGUGCCAACAUGGAAGGUUAAGCCAUGCAGUCUCUGUUGCAGUGACUCUCUGCUGCCGCUGGGCAGGAGGUGGUCCUAGGCCCUCUGUCAAUAAACAGGCAAGGCUGUGCUCCAAUGACCCUUUA